GUAGUGAACCGCUGUAUUUAUCGUUCUAUUAUUACGCCACAACUACUGCCACGUAUCGGUUAGUUUGUACUAUCAUUGCUAAUCUCUGCAACAUAUGUACAUUUAAGGGUAACAAUCUCGUCUUAAUCUCCAUACAGCCCUUGUUCCAAGAUGUAGCUGAAAUUUCUGAGUUGCUGUUCGAGUAAAUUUAGUAAAUUACGUAAAUAAUAUGAGAAAGAGAAAAAAUAUGAGAUACCUUAGUGACUUCUGCUUUUCAAGUGUAUGAUUCACCAACAAUGUGGUACUUUUUCACUUCUAUUUACAAAACAUUUUACUGAAACAAGUGAAGUAAAUAGUUGUCCCUCAAUCUUAAUAUAUGAUUCAAUUAUGCCACCUGAUUUUUCUGAUCAAAGAAAGAAACAAAUGUUGAGCAAAGUAAUGACUUUCAAAUACAGAAGAAAAUUAUAAGAAAAUGAAUCGUUUUGAAGAGUGGUUGGAAAGAGCCUAUAGGCAGCAUAAUUUGGGAGUAUCUCUGGAUUGUGAUUUUUUUCAAUUCUUAUUCUUGAAAGGAACUCUGAAAAAAAGAAUUGAGUUAUUAGCCCUUCUCUGUGUGUUGUUAAAAGAUGAGUUUUCAUAUGAACACAAAAUGUAUUAACAUUUUAUUGCAAUUCUUUUAUUUUGCUCCUUUACUUUUAAUGCAUUCUUUCACAAAAACAGCCUAGAACUGUAUUGUUCAUUUGAGGUCAACAUAUUUCCCACAAAUACAGUGAGAGUGCUGAUAGUUUUUCAGUUUUGGGUUUGAGUCCAGAUAUUAUUAAGCAAUUGAAAGAGAUUCAGUUCAUGAGCUUAAAAGACUCUUGGGCUACCUGUCCUUACUAUUAUUUCAUCAGUUCUAAUUCUCUGAAAUGCAUUUGAUUAGUGCAGCUUUUAAUCAUUAUCAAAAGGUCUGUAUGUUAUGUGUGUUUCAACUGGAUCAACCCUUCAUAGACUACAACUCUCUUUCUUCUCUAAAUUUGACUAUAUAGCUUAUGUAUCUGAAAUGCAUGUGUUUUUUAGGCAAAUAUUUCAGUGGCCAACAGUCAAUAUAGUGAAAUUUUUGGUUAUCUUUAUUUCCCUUUGAUUUCUGCCUAGUGUGUUCUAUCAAUUUAUAAAUAAUAAUUCAUUAUUAGCAAUGGAAGCAACAUUGGUUCAAAAUAGCAUUCUGCACAGGGUCUUGCAGAUAAAUUGAGACAAUUUUUAUGAUGCAUAAAAUUGGUUAUAAAUACUAAAAUAAUGGUAAUAGACAAAUAUAAUUUUAAUGUGAUAUAUAUUACAACAAAAGCAUCACUCAGUAUGGCCACCCUUUUGGACAAUUACUGUUUGCAUAUGAGAACGAAUUUUUUUUGCAGCUGCUGCAACUUCUACUAUUUUGAUUUUGCAUGUUAUAUGCACGAUGCAGGUCUUCAAACUGUUGACGCUCAAGUGUGGUGAAGCAUUGGACCUUGCAUGAAGUACACCCCAUAAAAAGUAAUCAAGAAGGUUGAGGUCUGGGCUAUUACUGGGCCAGAUGUUGACCCACACAAAAAAUAGCACUUUCUCACCAAGGAAGGCCUGUGUUGCUUUUGACCUGUGGCAUGGUGCAGAAUACUGGAUAAGCACCACAAUUUCAAGCCCAAACUUCUGCUCCAUCCAAGUAACAGAGAGCUCUUCAGAAUGUCCAGAUACUCCUUUGUGCUGAUUUUCAAGCCAGACUCAAUGAAGUGUAAAUCCAUGACACUUCCAUCACUUGCCACCGCUCCAAAUACUAUCACAGAGGUAGGAUUCUUAGUCUCAAAAACAGGAGGGAUGUCAGAAGGGUUGUAUGCAAUCACUUGAGAAUUUCUGCAAUUCACCUCAGCAUCUACAAACACGAGACUUUUUCCUGCACCUCGAUGUUUGAUGAAUAACAGAAGCUUUAGGCAUCUCUUGGCUCUGAUUUGCUUUGGCCUUGGCUGUUAGGAAGUGAUGGCAUCCUCAAACAUAGCUAGUCAUGCCAUGGUUCCUGUUCACAGUUCUGGACACUGUGAAAAGGAACACAUUUAUCUCAAUUUAUCUGCAAGACCUUGCAUGUCUUACUUGACAUGAAUAUACUAUUGAAAGCUGCAAGACUGCAGUAUUCAUCUUGAGAAAGCUUCUCUUGCACUAUAUGUCUAAAUGAAAAGCUUUCUCACGAUAAAUAUUGCAGUGUGGUGGCUUUCAAUAGUAUACCCACAUUAAGUAAGUUAGACAAAAUGUUUUUUAAAUAGUAACUUUGCCUAAAUAGUUUUCUCUAUGAGGAUGAUAGAAUUCUGUACAAUGUAUUUGACAUCCUUAGUUGUACAGACAUUCAAUCUCUCACCAAGGUUAUUUUAUUGUUUCAUAUCUUUGUUAUCAUCAUCAAGCAGGACAGAAAAUGUGAUACUUGAUGUUUCAUUGCUCUAUUAAUGCAGACAUCUAGAUGGAUAUUAGUUCUAAUAUAAUGGCAGGGAUUUUUAUUCAUAAUUAUAUAUUUAAAGUUUCUUAAAAACUACUCAACUCAAAGAGCCAAAAGUGUCUCUCUACUGCAAUUCUUUUUUUUUUCCUCUUGUAACUCAAAUACUACACAUUGUAGAAAAGUUUUAAAUUUCUUCAUCAUAAUUCAAGGAAUCCAUAAGCAACAAGAUAAAACUAGUAACUUGUAGUUUGGUGUGGGAACUAUGAAGUUAUUGUUUUAAGAGAUUUCCGAGUAGUAGUGAACAUCAGUGAUAAAAGGGUAUAUAAGCCUACACUGUUGAAAAAUCCCUGAUACAAAAGGAAUAUAACAUCAAAUUCAUUGCACAAGUUAUAGAUGAGACCUGAAAUAGGGUGAAACUUUCUCACAAAACCAGUUGCAACUUAUAUUCAUAAUUUUACUUGUUUGUCUUUGCUAGAAGGGUUUAUAACUUCAUUUGUAAUGAUACUUUUUUGUUAUGAGAUACUCAAAUCAUAAUUUGAACUUGUGUACCAAAAUGUUAUGUGAUCAAACUACAUUGUUUCACAGCCUUCUAUACAUGACGGGAAAAUCAUGGAAUUCUACAAUAGUAUAUAUAGCUCUACAAUAUACUGAAAAAUUCAGAACUUUGAAACCCAUUUUUACUUUUUUAUUUGUUCAAGAAAUGGUUUACUAAACAAGAUUUCCUUAACAUAAUUUUUAUGGGCUCUUCCAUUUCAGUCUCUUAUAUACAGAUAAAUGAUUACUUGCUGUAAAUGCUUCCCACAAAUUUCAUUGUAGCAUCUAUUUCUAAAUACUUUGGAAUAUAGUGAGAUGCUAUUAGUUGGCAAUAUUUUCCCACACAUAUAAGGUGGCGAGCUGGCAGAAUCAUCAACACACCAGGCAAAAUGCUUAGUGGCAUUUUGUCUGUCUUUACAUUCUGAGUUCAAAUUUUGCUGAGGUCAGCUUUGCCUUUCAUCCUUUUGAGGUCGAUAAAAUAAGUACCAGCUGAGCACCGGGGUUGAUGUAAUCAACUCUUCCCUACUCCAAAGCUACUGGCCUUAUGCCAAAAUUUGAAACUAAUAUUUUAUCACACAUUUCACAGUGGUAUGUUUUCUUUUCUAUAUGAACAUUUUCUAUAGAACAUUUCAAUGAACAAUAUAAUUAUUUUCAGUGGCCUUUCUGCCACUGUAAUUAUUGUUGAAUUACUUGUAGCAAUGGCUACAAACUAACUACAAUGUUUUAAAAAUCACACAGAUUCCAAUAUGCUUUUCUUUGCUUGGUAGAUUUGAAUGAAUACUAAAAUUUCCUCCAAGCUGUCUUGUAAUAUUUGUAUUUACAAUAUUAUUAUGAUUGACUAAAUUAUUGUAAAGAAAAGUCAGUGAACUUGUGUACAGCAGUGACUGUAAACAAUAAUGCCAGUUACUAUGUUUUCUGUGGUAAUUCCAUAAGAUGAGUUGUGCUAUCUUGUUUUUCAAAUGAUUCUAGUAAGGUGUGCUAAGUACUAUUUUCUACUCUACUGAGGCUAAUUUUUUAUCUUAACCAAAUAAUAAAAUAUGGCACUCCUCUCACAUUGGUGUGCAUGCAUUUUGGGUUAUUUGUAUAAUUCACAUUUUAUACUGGAAUUUUUCUUAGAUUUCAACUAAAAAAGAAAUAAUAGAAUUAUAAAAUGAUUAUUUUUAUUGGAUGUGAGAAGAAAAAUCAAAAUAUUUAUUUGUUUUUGUUUAUGAUUGAAUUGAUGAUAGUGGGUCAUAAACAUAUUACACUUAUUGAAAUUAACAAAAUAUACAAAUGGCAUCUAUAUUACAAAACAAUCUGUUUUGCUUAUUAAUUUACUGAACUAAAACCUUUGACUUACAUAUAAUUGUAUGGUGAUUAUUCAUUGUCAUCAAUUAAUUUAGAAGGAAAAAAUUAUGCAAAUAUUAAGAAAGGCACUCAUGCUAAUGUGAGAUGGGUGUUAUUGGUUUUUUUGAUAUGAUACCACCAACACCGAAGAUAACUUAGCCAAGUAUCCAACAUUUUCAAACUGAAAUGGAUAAUGAAUGAAAAAAGCAUGCUGUUAACAAUAAAGAAGCUACUACUAAUUUUGUGGUAUUUUUAUGUCAAUACAUUAGGUGUUAGACAAAAUGUUAAUGUUACUGCUUGUUUUAACUAAAAUGAUGGCUCUCUGAUCUAGAUAUUAUAUAACAAUUCUGUCUUCAGUACAUCAGUGUUUAACUCCUUGAACUCUGACACCUUUUCACAUGUUUUGCUACUUUAUAUGACACCUUUGUUGUCCCUUUGUAUCUCAGUACUCUUGCAUAUUCUGGAACUUACUUUGGUAAUCAUGUACUUGAGAAUACAUAUUAUAGAAAUACUAACUAAUAUCCAGAUUUAGUUUGAGUCUCAGUGGCAAGUUUUAAUUUGAGUGAGUCUUUAUUCUGUGCUGUUGAAUUGGUCAUUUUUCUUUUUUUGCCCCAAUUAUUUUAGCCUACACCAACAGAUAUUAUGAUAAGCAUCUUAUUGCAGUUGUCUGCCUUCAAGAACCUCUUCAGAAUGGUGAUUUAGAAAUGGAUUCUUGCCAUGUAUAUGCCCCAACUAAUUCAUUAAAUUCUUCAAAGUACCAUGAAGAGUAAUAGUUUUUCUUUGGUGGUUGGCAAUCUUUAUUGACUUCAUUAACAAGAAUCCAGUCCACAUAAAGCACUUCAUCAUCAUUCCUAGCUUUACUAACACCUACAUCUUUUUAACAUUGUGUUAUCUACUCAAUUUUUGUUGGUACUACACUGCAAGAAGGUGUUAUUAUUUAUUGGUUUUGAAUACCACAUAGGAAUUCUUCUGUAUAUAACUGGGAUGUAUUUUAGAACCCAUCAGCUUGCAAAGAAAUAUGCAAUGAAGCCACAAAAUAGAUUUCUUGUUGUUCUGAUUAACAUUUCUAUUAAAUGACUUCUAUUGAUCUUUGCUAUUGUCAUGGGGUUGCUUGUGCCAAGAUGGUCUAUGAUGAUGCAUUGUGAACAUCUGGAUCACUAUGUCACAAUGGAUGGCUUUCUAACCACUGUUGUAGUGUGCUUGUUGGUGUUGUACUGUAGUGUUUUGAGGUGUGCUGGCUGUAUGAAUAAUAACUGAAGCAAACUCAGGAGCCUUUAACUUUAAUAUUUAUUGCCAGGCAUAUUUUGUGUAGGCUGUUUACAAUGAAAGAUGCUAAUAUAAUUGCCAAUUGGGAGAAAAGAAAACCACACUGUGCUUGUAGGAAACUACUUAUGGAACAUUGUAUGAAUGUUCAGAAUCAGCUUGUGCAAAGGUCCAAAGCUGUCUGCUCAAAUGCCUGAGGUCAUCUGCCUGCGGGAUUAGGCACCAAACAGUUUUAUGGAGUGAAAAGAAGGUAAAUUCAAGAACAUUCAAAAAGCCAUUUCAUGUCACAGCUUCAGGCUGAUUGGUCAAUUUAUAGAUGGAUCACAUGAAACUGUGGUGGCUUACUCAUGAUGACUGAUUGAAUAUCGCGAGGUUAGGGUUAAAACCACUACAGUAGUCUUCUCCCAGUUCUUUACUGUAAAAGCGAAAAGAAUGAAAUAAGAAAACAAAGAAUUUACAUAGAAAUACAAUAUGCCAACACAAAUGCAAAAAAUAAGAAAAACAAAAUGUAUUGAAAGGAGAGUAAAUGCUGAGAUAAGGUUCAUAUAACAAUGAUAAAUUUGUUAGAUAUGCAGACAGUUCUGCUGUUCUUUUUUCUUUUCCUAGGGUGGGGGUAAAAAGUAAGUUCAAGUGUAAUUAGCUGGCCAAUAGACUUUUUUGACAUUUUUGGUUAUCCUGUCUGUGUGAGGUGCAAUGCGUUAUUUUCUUGUUUGAAUUGUUUGGGUGUGGUAGAGGUAUUGACUUGACAGAAGCCUACUUAAGUCUGUCAACACUGACAGUCUCCUACCUUCCCUGUAUGUCGAAGGUCAUAUAGUUCAGUUUAUUUUUUAGCACAUGGUAUAGACCAGGAUAAACAGUUUGCAAAGGAUGUUUAACUGCACAUGAAGACAUGAGUUCAGGUAUUUAUGCUGAAUGGAAUAAAAGUUUUAAUUGACUGCAGUCUCGUAAUUAAUGGAGGUAACUCCACCAUGUAACUUAGCAGUUGAUGAAUAUAGUCAGUAGGAUCAUGCUGUUGAUUACUGUUUGACCAGGUAGCGUAAGUGCUGAACUGUACAGUAAUUCUCCUGGGGAGUAACUUCCUUAAUAGCUGUACACAUAAACCUAGUAAUGCAAUCAGCAGGGCUUCUAACCGUCUAUCCGAAUCAAUAUAUGCUCAUAAAGCUGCUUUAAGUUGGUGAUGAAAAUGUUUGAUCAUUCUGUUAGACAUGGAGUGAUAAGCUGUUGUAUGAAUUCUUUCUGCACCUAACAGAUUAAAUAAGUGGUGGCUCACUUCUAUCUUGCAGUUAGGGUUUGGAUCACUACACUAUUCUAUCUUUAUUUUGAUGAACUUGUAAGACAACAGUAUAAUAUACUUUAGUCACCAUGAAAUCAUUUGGUGUCCUGCCAUUUACCAUUAAGUCCAUUUUUUAAAUAUAUAUACUUUGUAUUGCAGUUCCAGUAUUCUUUGGAUACAGUGUCUCAAACAAAUAUUUGCAGUUAAUAGUAAUGAAUGCUUAUUUUCAAACCAAGUCAUGAUGAUAAUGGGUCUGCUUCAUUCUACACUCUUUCUCAAAGACGCAAUUAUAACACAUACUUUCUUUGAAAGCUUUGGAAUGGUUUGAACUUCUGAAUUAUGAACGAAGAGCAGUCAAUCCUGGUUAUUACUUGAAUAAAUGUGCUUUAACACUUUUGCCUUAUAAUUCAUAGUUGAAACUUCUCAGUAGUUGCUUAAGUUUUAUGGUUCUCUUACUUUUUUGGUGGUGAGAUGAUAAAGCCUGGUACCACUUUCAACUACUUGAUUACGUGGUUUCUUUACAAGAUGUUUCCUCUGUACUUAUUGCUUCUUUAACUAUUUUUAUAUUCAGAUGACAGCGCUUUUCGUGAAUAGGAAAAGCAUAUUAGCUCAAGUGAAGUUUAAUCAAUCAGGAACUGGAGUUCCACAGAUUUGAACCAUCUAUGUGAGUUUUUAGAAAUUGCUGAAAGUAUAUAAACAUUGUUAUAAAAAAAGUUGCAACGACACUGCUGGAAUAACAUAGUUGGCAUCUUUCAAAUAGCAGCCAGUUUGGUAUCUGCAAAAUUCAAAGAGCUAAUAUAGACCAAAAGUAUGCAGUCAGAAAUUUAUUUCCAUUAUAGACAAAAAAAAAAAUCCUUAAGCACUAAAGAAUUCUUCAACAUUUUUUCCUACUCUUUAAUUCUUGUAUCACCUGUACUUGAGUGUGAAAGUCAGUUGUAAUUCAUUCAAAAAUUUGAAUAGUUCACUCCCAUAUUUGCAUACCUUUGCAUUUCUAAAUGCACUCUAUUUAAUUAAUCUUCAUUGUUUCUAGCAGAGUUUAUUGCAACUUUUGGAGAACAAAGUUUAUAUAUUUUUGGUGAUACUUUCUAGUAUCAACAAUUUCCAAAGACCCUCAUUGAUGGCUCAGAUGUGUGUUAUUCUAGUUCCUAAUUCAAUAAACUUUACUUUAUUUAACAAAUAUACUGUUCCUAUCAAAAUCUGUCUUCAAAAAUAUAACACUAAGAGAAACAUUUUUUAUCCUAAUUCCUGUUUUCUUUUUUAAUUCCUAUGUGUUUAUUGUUUUUUUGUUUUUUUUUCUGCUGAUGUUUGCAACCAUUAUCAUUCUCAUAAUGAUUUUAACAAAUCAAGUUUAUAUGGCAAAAGUAUUUUUACUCAGGUGUGAAUCCGUUUGUGUUUAGAUAAAUGACCUCUUUUUAAAUAAGUUGUCUGAAGUUCAAUUAUUUUGGAGAAAUGCUUCACAAAUUUGCCAUUGACAAAGUUUCAUUCUUUUGAUGACAAAAGAGCACUAUUUAGUGGAUGUUGGUUAUGUGUAUUCCUUCUCGAUAACUGUUUUGCAUUAUGCUUUUUUUUUCCCCCCAUAUAAAUCCAGUUUUGUUUAAUUUUUGAAUGAUAAUCAAGGAUAUUGGAUACUGUUUACAGAGUAUAAUGUCAAAGUAAUGUUUGGCAAAAAUUGUUGAUGUGAAUUAAAUAUAUUUUACUUCCAUUUAUGCUUUCACUGGAGAAAUUCAUCACUAAUGAAGAAUUCUUGUUCUUAAAUACUCAAAUUGUUAUAAUUUGAGUUUGUGUACUAAAAUGUUACACUAUAUUGUUUUAGAGCCUUGUAAAUUAACACACCUUGCCACUAUAUUCAUUUUCCUUUCUGUGAAACAAGGCAAUUGUGGAAUUCUGAAACAGUUUAAGCUCAAACAGAUACUGAAAAAUUUAGAGCUUUGAAACAGAUUUUAUUUUCACAUAUAGAUAUAUGUGUUUAUAUUCAGAAAAAAAUUCCUUUAACGUAAUUUUUAUGGACUCUUCCAUUUCAAUCUGAUAUAUACAGAUAAAUGAUUGGUGUAAAUGCUUCCCACAAAUUUCACAGUAGCAUCUAAAUCUAAAUAUUUUAGAAUAUAGCGAGAUGCUAUUAGUUGAUAAUAUUUUAUCACACAUUUCACAGUGGUAUGUUUUCUUUUCUAUAUGAACAUUUUCUAUAGAACACUUCAAUGAAUGACAUGAUUAGUUCCAGUGGCUUUUUUUUUGCCAUUGGAACUAUUGUUGAAUUACUAAUAGUAAUGACUACGAAGUAACUACAGUGUCUUAAAAAUCACACAGAUUCAAAUAUGUUUUUCUUUGGCAGAUUUGAAUGGACACUAAAAUUUCAACUAAGCUGGUCAUUCUUUCUCAUUUCUUUUAAUAUUUACAAUUACAAUAUUAAUACCAUUUACUAAAUCAUUAUAAAGGGAAGUCAAAGAGAUUGCAUACAGCAAUGACUGUAGACAAUAAAACCAGUUAGUAUGUUUUGCAUGAUAACCAACAAAUGUAAUGAUGGGUCUAUAUCAUAAUAUUCUGUUUCUCAGAUAUUUUUUUAACACAAAUAUUUGCUUUGAGACCCUUGAGAUGGUUUAAACUUCUGACCUAUGAGCAAAGAGUUGUCAGUAUAGUUUAAUUUUGUACCAUGAUUCACAAUUGAAAUAUCUCAAUAGUUGCUCAUAUUCUGAGAUUCUCUUUCCUUAGAUAGUGGGAUGAUAAAGACCGAUUUCCAUUCUUCUGUUGUGAUAACACUAUCAAAUGCUUGGUCACAUGGUUUCUUUGAUCCAUUAACUAUUGUUAUAUUUAGAUAACCGCCUUUUUCAUUGGGGAAAUAACCUUUUAUGAACCGUGAAGAGUAUAGGCAUAUCUUCCAAAUAGCAGCCAGUAUUGGCAGAAAUUCAAAGUGCCAAAUAAGAUGAAACAUACAAAUCCUUAAGCAUUAAAAUGCUUUUCAUUCUUUUUAUUUUACACUUUGACCUAAUGUUUGAGUGUGGAAGCCAUUUAGGAAUCUUUCAAAAUAUCAUUGAAUGGUUCUUGCCCAAGAAAUUUUGUAUUUCUAAAUACACUCCAUUUAUUUAGUUCAAGUGCUGUAUUUGUUACAAAUUUUCUGUAACAAAGUUUAUAGACUUUCUACUAUGUUAUAGCUAGUAUCAACAAUUUCCAAAAAUCCACAUUGAUGUUCUAACAUUUAUCAUUUCACUUCCUGACUUAGUAAACUUUUAGUUAUUCAGUAAAUUAUGUUCCUAAUGAAAAUGUUGACUGAGGAUUUUAUGGGAAUUUGUCUAUUAUAAUGUAAAGCUAAGAGUAAUUUUCCUUUUUAAUUUUUUUCUUUUCUUGCUUUUUUUUUCUACUUGCUGUUUUUUUGUCUCUCAUAUUGGCUGCCAUAAUCACUGUGAUAAUGAUUUUGACAGUUCAAUUAUGAGAUAAAAUAUUUACUCUUGUGUGAAUUUAUCUGUGUUUAGAAAAAUGACCCUUCUUAAUUCUGAAGUCCAAUUAUUUGGGUGAAAUGCUUCACAAAUUUGUUGUUUACAGUUUCAUUCCUUUGAUGGUAAAAAAUACUAUUUGGGGUAUCUAAUUUUAAAAUUAUGUGUAUUCUUUCCCAAUAAUUAUUUAUGCUUUUUUUUCUGUUACAAAUUUUUUUUUUCAAAUAAAGUGUUGUUUUAAAUUA